GUUCUUGGUUUGCUACUUCUGUUAACUUUUUCCAUACAGGCUGGAGCUGCUGGGAUUUGUAGUUCAAUAAUGCCUGAAACUCUACAGCUCUCUCUUUUAGCAUAUCCACAUUUCACCCUUAAGCUGCUUCUGUCUGGUACUGUUCUGUGCCUCUAAGCCAUUGUAAGAAAAUCCUGCCCCAACUGAGAUGCGUUGGCAACAGCUUGCAAGGGAUUCAGUCCAGGCCACAGAUGGCCACAUCCUCCCAGUGGACAAAGUUAAGCAUCAGAAUGCAGAUAUAAGCAGACAAAAUAAAAGAGGAGCUGACCACAGGAGGUGACUGUCCAUCAGAAGGAGAAUUAAAGAAAGCAGUAAGCUCAGUGGACAAGCUGACAACCAGAAACAAAAGUUACAGAAGAUAUUUUGCAGAAUUGGCACUCAAAAGCAACUAUCAGGUGAGAGGGGGAGAAAAGACACUGUAGAACAGAAGAUAUAAUUAUGGAUCCCUGAAGAGCAGAAAAGAAGACAAAGUAAAUUUGAAGAGCAUUACCAGGCUCAUCAUCUUGUAAAGUUUACCAGGAACAAGAAUUAGGGAUGUGCUAGAACAGCUUCCAAACUUAUCGAGUCCACUGACAAUAAUUCCUUCUUGCUAACCCACAUGGAGAAAAAUAUACAGCAAAGAGCAGACUGGAAAGGAAAAUUAGAACGUUGAAAAUAAAUGUCUAGCUGUGUAAAUGAUGUUCACUGGAGAAUUCUGGUUUCUGGGACCAUAGUGAAGGACAAAUUGGACCUCAUAAAGACUGGCGAAAAAUAUUUGGCAAAAGCAGAGUGAGCUUGAUCAGGAGAGCUUUAAAUUGAUCCUGUGAGAUCUGGAAGUAAAAAUAUAUUGAAGUAAAGACUUGCAUACUGUAGAAAGA